rnacentral:lncRNA from 1 species
AAAAAGAAAAAAAAAAGCCUAAGCAACCUUCCUUGUUUCAUGCAUGGCCAACUAUGGUUUGAAAAUAAUAAUAUAUAUAUAUGGCUUUAUAUAGUGACCGGUGUUAUUCUGUCAUUAAAAAAAAUUGUGGUGGAAAUAAAUGUCUACGGAUCAAUUUAGUGUUAGUUUGAGUUAGCCAUGACAAUUCUAAGUAAGUAAAGACAAAUAAUAUGCUGAUCAAAGCCUUCCACUAACCCUAUUUUAUUACAUAUUUUUGUUAAACUACUUUAUUAUAAUUCAACUCGACAAUUUUACAAUAUAGUUCAUAAAUUCAUAAUCGUGCCUAUCACUGUGUCCCGUCCCGUGGUACGUCUCCAUCAUAAAACUUUAACAAAUUACAUUUGGUUUAAAUGAUCUUUCUAAUCAUAUAAAAACAAAUUAAAAUGUUAAACAAAUACGAGUUAUAUCAUGUUGGGUGGGUUGGCUUACUGAAACAUCUCAGCUACACGAUUUAUUAUUGGGAUCUAAAAAACCGAACCAACUUUGUAGGCAGCUGUAUUUGUUUCUUUUGGUCCAUUAAUUGGGCUUCUACUGAGCCCAUAUUUAGCUAACGGAUCGAAGGCCUUUCCAAUUGCAAAUAUGCUUGAUUUAUUUAUUAACAAAUAAAUAAAAAAACUAAAUUCCAAAUGAAACCGAAUCGCCAUCGCUGCUUCUCAAAUCUCAAACUGCAGUGGAGGCGCAACGGUCACCUCUGCAAUUAUCUGAAAACCUCUCUCAAGAAAAAAGAUCGAAAAUUUACAGUAAAAGAAAGGGAAAAAUGGUGAUUAAGCAAACGGAAAUUGUGGAGAUCACUCCAGAUCUGUGGGAGACAACGAAGAAGACGAAUACCAAGGGAAGAAAGAAGCUAACCCAGAAGGAAGAAGAAGAAGAACAAGAAGAAGAAGGGACGCCUAUCAGAGGUAUAUUCUGUCUCAAAACAAGACAGGAUGUGCAGUUUUUCGAGGAAAAAGAGGAUUGCUUCAUCCUCGACUUUGAUCCCAACGAUUCAUUUGACGCACGGAAGCUCUCCUUCUCCGAUAACCCAGAAAGUGACAACGAUGUGGCAAUUAUCCACGAGAAAGGCCAGGUUUUGGUCUCUUGGGUUCUUUGAUUUUCUGUAAAUUUUGGGGCUUUUGUAUCUUUUUCGCAUAAUCAAGUUGUCGCUGUUGAUUUUUGAAAUUUUGAUGGAAUCUGGUGUUUUUUUUUCAGGUGGCUUGUAGAGAUUUCCCACAUCCAAGGCAUCUCUGCUUGAAAUAUCCAUUUGCAUCAACUCAUCACGCACUACAUUGUAGUCAGGUAUCUGUACUAUCUUCUAUGUGUUGAACAUGGUCAUUUUCAGAUGUGGUUGGGUUGAGAUGUGGAUCGAUUUGUUGUUUGAAAAAAAUGUGUUUCUUUUAUGUCAAUUUAGCCAAGAUCUUCAAGAGUUGGAUGUAACAAAAGUGUCUAAUGUUUGGUUUUUGAUCUGUAUGUGCGUGUGUGUAGUGCUACUGUUACGUAUGUGAUUUGGCUGCGCCUUGCCCACAUUGGACACCGAGUUAUGAACCGCAUUGUGAAGCCUUGGAGAAUAUUAGGUGGAAGCGUUUACGGGAGCUGCACCGCGUUGUGAAGCAGUAGAGGACAUUAAGCGGAAGCAUUUACGAGAGUUUGUGCUGGAAUCUUGGCUGCUCGCCGUGUAAGCACCAACAAGUAGAAAACUUCUAAUAGGAAAUUGGUCAGCCAAAGGCAAAAGCUUGAGUGAGAGAUGUAUGAUGAAUAUUAAGACUAGUGUGUAAUAUAUAAUGCCCCAUUUUGAGCUAAAUAUUUUGCCUAUUGAAGAACCCAAAUUAGGCCCCUCAUUUGUUAUUGAUUUAUUAGAUUCUAAAUGGAGCCAUCUUUACAUUACCAUUCCGACAUUGCAUGACAGUUAGUGCAGGGAGAAGAAGCAUAGCUUCUACUUAUGUUCAUUCUUCCAACGUUUCUUCAAACUUGGAUUUCGUUACUACUCUAUACACACAAUGUUCAAAUCAAAUAGUCUAGUAAGUUUGCUUAUGAAGAGAUUUUGGAGAUUACAAGUUAUGUAACAAGAAGAAAGAAGCUCUGCUAGAAAUCCAUUUCUUGGAGAUUCAAAAUUAACAUUCCCUAAUCGAUGCUCGAAAAAAUAAAAAGAGUGAGACACUAAGAAAAAGAAAAAAAACCUUGACUGUUGCCGUCGGCUACUACAAUUUAAAUGAAUAAGACUCAGAAGUCGACGAGAUGUGAGGAGAAGUCUGGAACAGGCAAGGAGAGACAACCGAUGUGAAUAUCUCUCCGGUCAUUGGGACGCCGAGGAAUUAUCUCGGCGGCGAUUUUGGCGAGAGCAGUCGUGUACUCGCCAAGUAGCUUAGCGAAAAUAACUAUUGGAACCAUUGUGUAGAAGCUAGUUGGACAACGAAAUUUCUCCAAGGGAAUAUGAUCUUAUAGAAUCGGAAUAUUUUGUUGUGGAAUCACUUUUCAAUGGAUGUCUGAAUAUUUUGACAAGGAUUGUUUUUUGGGAAAUGUCGAAUGAAGAAGGAAUGUAGUUAUUGGAAAGGUGGUGUGCGUGUUGACUGGAUUAUUCCCUUUCCG